rnacentral:rRNA from 1 species
CUUAGUGGCGGACGGGUGAGUAACGCGUGGGCAACCUGCCCCGUGCCGGGGGAUACCGCCUGGAAACAGGCGCUAAUACCGCAUAAGCGCAUACAGCCGCAUGGCAGUAUGCGGAAAGCUCCGGCGGCACGGGAUGGGCCUGCGCCCGAUUAGCCAGUUGGCGGGGUAACGGCCCACCAAAGCGACGAUCGGUAGCCGGCCUGAGAGGGCGGACGGCCACAUUGGGACUGAGACACGGCCCAAACUCCUACGGAAGGCAGCAG